rnacentral:rRNA from 1 species
UACGUAGGGUGCAAGCGUUGCCCGGAAUUAUUGGGCGUAAAGAGCUCGUAGGCGGUCUGUCGCGUCUGCCGUGAAAACUCGGGGCUUAACCCCGGGCCUGCAGUGGGUACGGGCAGACUAGAGUGCGGUAGGGGAGACUGGAAUUCCUGGUGUAGCGGUGAAAUGCGCAGAUAUCAGGAGGAACACCUGCGGCGAAGGCGGGUUGCUAGGCUGACACUGACGCUGAAGCGCGAAAGCCAGGGGAGCAAACGGG